CCGGAGUCACGUGGUCGCGCCACCGCGCGAUUACUAGCUGUCAAAAGAGUCCUCAGAAGUGUCCUGAGCGGUCGCAGGGUAAUGACGUCGGCCGUAUCGGGGAUGCUGGAACCUGCGGUUGAGUGAGAAACCGGCGCCACCGCCUGCGUCUUGGUCUCGGGCUGGUGGCCAGCGGGGUCUGGGCGUGGUUUUACCCAGCUCCUUUGCGAAGCUGCUGUCCUUUCCUCAACGUUACCACCCGGCUGGGCAGCCUACCCUCGCAGCAACAGGUGUGCACCUUCCAAGCUUGCAACAGACCACAUUCAGAAGCUUGAUUUCUUGUUGUUCUGGGAAUAUCUGGAUCAGAGACCUUGCUGUCACCACUACUCCGGGACCUGGAAGUUAAAGCGAGGGAGAGACGGUGAAACACAGAAAGCAGAACGCCUUCUGUUCUUCCACAACACAGGGUUUGUGGACGUGGCCACUAUAAGAACUCGCACUGCGUGCUGAUUAUACUCCUCAGCACAAUUCAUUUCUUAAACUUUUUAGAAUAAUUUAAAAUUUACAAAAAGUUGCAAAAAUAAAAACCAG
rnacentral:lncRNA from 1 species